UACGGGGGGGGCAAGCGUUGUUCGGAAUUACUGGGCGUAAAGGGCUCGUAGGCGGCCAACUAAGUCGGAUGUGAAAUCCCCAGGCUUAACCUGGGAACUGCAUCCGAUACUGGAUGGCUUGAAUCCGGGAGAGGGAUGCAGAAUUCCAGGUGUAGCGGUGAAAUGCGUAGAUAUCUGGAGGAAUACCGGUGGCGAAGGCGACUACCUGGCCUGUUUCUUGACGCUGAGGCGCGAAAGCUAGGGGAGCAAACGGG
rnacentral:rRNA from 1 species